CCCUUAGACGUUCUGGGCCGCACGCGCGCUACACUGACCAGUGCAACAAGCAUCCGUCCUUGGCCGACAGGCCCGGGCAAUCUUUGAACGCCGGUCGUGAUGGGGAUAGACUUUUGCAAUUUUUGGUCUUCAACGAGGAAUUCCUAGUAAACGCAAGUCAUCAACUUGCAUUGAUUACGUCCCUGCCCUUUGUACACACCGCCCGUCGCACCUACCGAUUGAAUGGUCCGGUGAAGCCUCCGGAUUGGCGCGCACCUCGGUGCCGCCGAGAAGUUGGCUAAACCUUACCAUUUAGAGGAAGGUGAAGUCGUAACA
rnacentral:rRNA from 1 species